rnacentral:rRNA from 1 species
CCCUAUGGGGUGCAGCAGGCAUCAUGGAAUAUAUGGCACGCCUCACUGGACGCACCUCCCCCAUCCAUCGAGCCUCCCUCGACAAGUACCUGGAAGAUGUGGCCGUGGAUGGGAAGCGCAUCCAGACCGAACUGGGGUUUCGGCCGCAGUACGAUCUUGCGGGGGGGUGGCGCGAUGCAGUGCGGGAAAUGAGGGAAAAGGGCGAUUUGGGAAGAUCAACGCAGUUGGCAGAUUUCCCCGGUAUUGAAGCAGCCUCACUCCCAAAAGGGGGCCGUGCCGAAUGCAUCAAGAAGAUGCCCAUUUAUGCAUAACUGUACGAUGAUGCCCAAUAUUUGCCUUUCGACCAAUUUCAAGCCAGGAAAAUCAUUCAUUUUCAUCAGCCCAGGCCUGGACCAUUAAAUGAAGCAUGAAAUCUCCAACCCACAUGACAAACUUUUCAAACAGAUUCUGGGAGAGC